UACGUAGGGUGCAAGCGUUGUCCGGAAUUAUUGGGCGUAAAGAGCUCGUAGGUGGCCUGUCGCGUCGGCUGUGAAAACUCGGGGCUCAACCUCGGGCCUGCAUUCGAUACGGGCUGACUAGAGUUCGGUAGGGGAGACUGGAAUUCCUGGUGUAGCGGUGAAAUGCGCAGAUAUCAGGAGGAACACCGGUGGCGAAGGCGGGUCUCUGGGCCGAUACUGACGCUGAGGAGCGAAAGCGUGGGGAGCGAACAGG
rnacentral:rRNA from 1 species